UUGGAGGGCAAGUCUGGUGCCAGCAGCCGCGGUAAUUCCAGCUCCAAUAGCGUAUAUUAAAGUUGUUGCAGUUAAAAAGCUCGUAGUUGAAUUUCGGAAUUUUUUUAUCGGUUGAAUCAACAGGUUCGUACUGAUUUUAAGAAUUUCUACCUUCUGGAGAACCUUAAUGUCAUUUAUUUGGUGUUUUGGGAAACCAGGACUGUUACCUUGAAAAAAUUAGAGUGUUUAAAGCAGGCUUAUGUCUGAAUAUAUUAGCAUGGAAUAAUGAAAUAGGACGGCAUGGUUCUAUUUUGUUGGUUUCUAGGAUCACCGUAAUGAUUAAUAGGGAUAGUUGGGGGCAUUAGUAUUCAAUUGUCAGAGGUGAAAUUCUUGGAUUUAUUGAAGACUAACUUCUGCGAAAGCAUUUGCCAAGGAUGUUUUCAUUAAUCAAGAACGAAAGUUAGGGGAUCGAAGACGAUCAGAUACCGUCGUAGUCUUAACCAUAAACUAUGCCGACUAGGGAUCGGACGAAGUUAAUUUUAUAAUGACGCGUUCGGCGCCUUACGGGAAAC
rnacentral:rRNA from 1 species